GACGAACGCUGGCGGCGUGCUUAACACAUGCAAGUCGAACGGAAAGGCCCUGCUUUUGUGGGGUGCUCGAGUGGCGAACGGGUGAGUAACACGUGAGUAACCUGCCCUUGACUUUGGGAUAACUUCAGGAAACUGGGGCUAAUACCGGAUAGGAGCUCCUGCUGCAUGGUGGGGGUUGGAAAGUUUCGGCGGUUGGGGAUGGACUCGCGGCUUAUCAGCUUGUUGGUGGGGUAGUGGCUUACCAAGGCUUUGACGGGUAGCCGGCCUGAGAGGGUGACCGGCCACAUUGGGACUGAGAUACGGCCCAGACUCCUACGGGAGGCAGCAGUGGGGAAUAUUGCACAAUGGGCGGAAGCCUGAUGCAGCAACGCCGCGUGCGGGAUGACGGCCUUCGGGUUGUAAACCGCUUUCGCCUGAGACGAAGCGUGAGUGACGGUAAUGGGUAAAGAAGCACCGGCUAACUACGUG
rnacentral:rRNA from 1 species